GAAUUCCUUAGCGUUUUCUAUUUUUCAUUUGAUAUCAGUGAAUUUCUUUGAACUCCUCUGUGUUGAUUGUGAAGCUUUAAUUCUCAUAGGAUUCUCUUCCCAGGUCUCUAUUUUUCUCAAGAUUUGGGAUCUUGGAAAAACAUAACAUUUCUGAGAAGUGUUGGGAAGGAAUUAUAGAAAUACCAAUUCAGGAGAUCAAAUUAAACCCAUUUGUUGAAUGAUCACGAUGCCACUGAAUCAUUUUCAUGGAUCCCAGUAUUGCCCAUGGGUCAUUUUCAUUAAUUUAGUUUUGGGAAAUUUUAAGCAUGGAGCCUAUACACUUUGAUGUUAAAUUUAGUGAUUUUUCAGAGAGACAGAUCACCAGGGUCAGAACAGAGAUCAUGUGACCUUAUAUCUCACAUCAUUUCACAGUGGCACACGUAGCUAGUUGUCUCCCAGCCUCAGUUCUUCUUCCCCUUAUUGAAGACAACAAUACUGAGGAAGAUGACGACACAGUCUCCCUUGGAGAUAGGAAUGGCCAACAGAAGUGAAAUGCAGCUUCUGGGAAAUGUCCUAAAUAGAGGGGGAGCACUGCCUUUUCUUCUUCCAUCUGGCAAGAUUGUAGAUGCAAUGGUUGGAGCUAUAUAGGUGUCAUUGGACCACAAAGUGACCUGGGCAAUGGAAACUGCACUUGGGGCAUCGAUAAGAUGGGAGGAUCCUGUGUUCCUGAUAAUAUGGGGGUACUACAGUGGCCCUAUACUGCCUAGAAAUUAAUUC
rnacentral:lncRNA from 1 species